UAAGAGGUCACGCCUGCCCGGUGACUAUAAGUUUAACGGCCGCGGUAUUUUGACCGUGCAAAGGUAGCGCAAUCACUUGUCUUUUAAAUGGGGACCUGUAUGAAUGGCAUCACGAGGGCUUAACUGUCUCCUCUCUCUAGCCAAUGAAAUUGAUCUCCCCGUGCAGAAGCGGGGAUAACAACAUAAGACGAGAAGACCCUAUGGAGCUUUAGACACUAAGACAGCUUACGUCAAAUAUUUCUAGUAUAACAGAAUUGAACUAAGUAAGCCCUGCCCUAAUGUCUUCGGUUGGGGCGACCCUGGGGAAAUAAACAACCCCCAUGCGGAAUGGAAACAUGUUUUCCAAAGCCGAGAGCUACCACUCUAAGAAGCAGAACUUCUGACCACCUAGAUCCGGCAUGGCCGAUCAACGGACCGAGUUACCCUAGGGAUAACAGCGCAAUCCCCUUAUAGAGUCCCUAUCGACAAGGGGGUUUACGACCUCGAUGUUGGAUCAGGACAUCCUAAUGGUGCAGCCGCUAUUAAGGGUUCGUUUGUUCAACGAUUAAAGUCCUACGUGAUCUGAGU
rnacentral:rRNA from 1 species